CCUGGCUCAGGAUGAACGCUAGCUACAGGCUUAACACAUGCAAGUCGAGGGGCAGCAUGGUCUUAGCUUGCUAAGGCCGAUGGCGACCGGCGCACGGGUGAGUAACACGUAUCCAACCUGCCGUCUACUCUUGGACAGCCUUCUGAAAGGAAGAUUAAUACAAGAUGGCAUCAUGAGUCCGCAUGUUCACAUGAUUAAAGGUAUUCCGGUAGACGAUGGGGAUGCGUUCCAUUAGAUAGUAGGCGGGGUAACGGCCCACCUAGUCUUCGAUGGAUAGGGGUUCUGAGAGGAAGGUCCCCCACAUUGGAACUGAGACACGGUCCAAACUCCUACGGGAGGCAGCAGUGAGGAAUAUUGGUCAAUGGGCGAGAGCCUGAACCAGCCAAGUAGCGUGAAGGAUGACUGCCCUAUGGGUUGUAAACUUCUUUUAUAAAGGAAUAAAGUCGGGUAUGGAUACCCGUUUGCAUGUACUUUAUGAAUAAGGAUCGGCUAACUCCGUGCCAGCAGCCGCGGUAAUACGGAGGAUCCGAGCGUUAUCCGGAUUUAUUGGGUUUAAAGGGAGCGUAGAUGGAUGUUUAAGUCAGUUGUGAAAGUUUGCGGCUCAACCGUAAAAUUGCAGUUGAUACUGGAUAUCUUGAGUGCAGUUGAGGCAGGCGGAAUUCGUGGUGUAGCGGUGAAAUGCUUAGAUAUCACGAAGAACUCCGAUUGCGAAGGCAGCCUGCUAAGCUGCAACUGACAUUGAGGCUCGAAAGUGUGGGUAUCAAACAGGAUUAGAUACCCUGGUAGUCCACACGGUAAACGAUGAAUACUCGCUGUUUGCGAUAUACGGCAAGCGGCCAAGCGAAAGCGUUAAGUAUUCCACCUGGGGAGUACGCCGGCAACGGUGAAACUCAAAGGAAUUGACGGGGGCCCGCACAAGCGGAGGAACAUGUGGUUUAAUUCGAUGAUACGCGAGGAACCUUACCCGGGCUUAAAUUGCAGAUGAAUUACGGUGAAAGCCGUAAGCCGCAAGGCAUCUGUGAAGGUGCUGCAUGGUUGUCGUCAGCUCGUGCCGUGAGGUGUCGGCUUAAGUGUCAUAACGAGCGCAACCCUUGUUGUCAGUUACUAACAGGUUCCGCUGAGGACUCUGACAAGACUGCCAUCGUAAGAUGUGAGGAAGGUGGGGAUGACGUCAAAUCAGCACGGCCCUUACGUCCGGGGCUACACACGUGUUACAAUGGGGGGUACAGAGGGCCGCUACCACGCGAGUGGAUGCCAAUCCCCAAAACCUCUCUCAGUUCGGACUGGAGUCUGCAACCCGACUCCACGAAGCUGGAUUCGCUAGUAAUCGCGCAUCAGCCACGGCGCGGUGAAUACGUUCCCGGGCCUUGCACACACCGCCCG
rnacentral:rRNA from 1 species